UGUGUCCUGGGAUAGAUAAGUGAUCCCUUUGUAAUCCCCUUUUCCAUCCCUGGCAUUGGU
ensembl:miRNA mdo-mir-1545f mdo-mir-1545f